UCUAGUUCUAGCCAUAUAGUCUGGCAAGUAAAUGUCUCUGGAGCAUUCCAGUGUUGUUUGACUAUUAUCUCUGCGGUUUGUGUCACCCAUCAGAUCAGAGACACCCUCUGAUAAGAAGUGACCUCGCACGACUUCCGACACCCUUGGAGACCUCCGACACCAUUGUAAUGGCUACUCCUGUUUUGCUUCACCUCCUGGCAAUCUAAUCUGACAGAGCUCUGCAUACUCCAUGUGCAUUCCUAUGGUGAUGGGAGCAAUGUCCUCUACUUCCUCCAAUCGAGUCGUCCCCGGAUGAAUACGUGAACUUUAUUUUGUUGCGAUUCGAGAUCAGAAUGGCUGUCUCUCGGAAGGACAGGCUGUUAGGGCAGGACUUCGUGGUCACAUCGUCCGUUCAGAAGCACAAUAUGGCCUCGUGGAGUGCUAUGACUGACCGCUGACUGACGUCUUCUCGUCUUUUCCGCCCUGUUCAGGGUUCACGGGCAACAAGAUGACAUGAAGGUGAUGUAGAUAUUAUUGUCUUCCGCAUCAAUAAGCCUCCUAUAAGCCUCCUCGUCUUGUACCUUGAAAGAU